AAAGGGUGCGUAACACGUGGGCAACCCGCCGAAAAGUGGGGGACAGCUCGCCGAAAGGCGAAUUAAUACCGCAUGUGGUCCUGACACGGCAUCGUAUCAGGACUAAAGUCGGGGCAACCUGACACUUUUCGAUGGGCCCGCGGCCUAUCAGCUUGUUGGUGGGGUAACGGCCUACCAAGGCGGCGACGGGUAGCUGGUCUGAGAGGAUGACCAGCCACACUGGGACUGAGACACGGCCCAGACACCUACGGGUGGCAGCAGUCGAGAAUCUUUCACAAUGGGGGAAACCCUGAUGGAGCGACGCCGCGUGGAGGAUGAAGGUUUUCGGAUCGUAAACUCCUGUCAUGAGGGAGCAAGGUCCUGCCCAGUAACUGGGGUAGGGAUUGAUAGUACCUCAAGAGGAAGAGACGGCUAACUCUGUGCCAGCAGCCGCGGUAAUACAGAGGUCUCAAGCGUUGUUCGGAUUUACUGGGCGUAAAGGGUGCGUAGGCUGCGGUGUAAGUCGGAUGUGAAAUCUCAGGGCUCAACCCUGAAACUGCAUCCGAUACUGCUCCGCUAGAGGACUGGAGAGGAGACUGGAAUUCACGGUGUAGCAGUGAAAUGCGUAGAUGUCGUGAGGAACACCGGUGGCGAAGGCGGGUCUCUGGACAGUUCCUGACGCUGAGGCACGAAGGCCAGGGGAGCGAACGGGAUUAGAUACCCCGGUAGUCCUGGCAGUAAACGGUGCACGUUUGGUGUGGGAGGAUUCGACCCCUUCCGUGCCGGAGCUAACGCGUUAAGCGUGCCGCCUGGGGAGUACGAUCGCAAGAUUAAAACUCAAAGAAAUUGACGGGGGCCCGCACAAGCGGUGGAGUAUGUGGCUUAAUUCGAUGCAACGCGAAGAACCUUACCUGGGUUUGACAUGCAUCUCUAAGCCGGUGAAAGCCGGUGAGCCUAGCAAUAGGCAAUUUGCACAGGUGCUGCAUGGCUGUCGUCAGCUCGUGUCGUGAGAUGUUGGGUUAAGUCCCGCAACGAGCGCAACCCCUGUGAGCUGUUGCCACCCCCGAGCGAUCGGGGAGCACUCUGCUCAGACUGCCCUGCCAAACGGGGAGGAAGGUGGGGAUGACGUCAAGUCAGCAUGGCCCUUACGCCCAGGGCUGCACACGUACUACAAUGUCCAGUACAGAAUGAACCAAAACCGCGAGGUGGAGGGAAUCUCCAAAACUGGGCCCAGUUCAGAUUGGAGGCUGCAACUCGCCUCCAUGAAGUCGGAAUCGCUAGUAAUGGCGCAUCAGCUACGGCGCCGUGAAUACGUUCCCGGGCCUUGUACACACCGCCCGUCACAUCAUGGGAGUCAUUUGUACCCGAAGCACGUGAGCUAACCGCAAGGAAGCAGCGUUCGAAGGUAUGGGUGGCGACUGGGAUGAAGUCGG
rnacentral:rRNA from 1 species